GCACAGUUUAUACCGUAGCUUGCUACACCAUAGACUGUGAGUUGCGAACGGGUGAGUAACGCGUAGGUAACCUACCUAUUAGAGGGGGAUAACUAUUGGAAACGAUAGCUAAUACCGCAUAACAGUAUGUAACACAUGUUAGAUGCUUGAAAGAUGCAAUUGCAUCGCUAGUAGAUGGACCUGCGUUGUAUUAGCUAGUAGGUAGGGUAAUGGCCUACCUAGGCAACGAUACAUAGCCGACCUGAGAGGGUGAUCGGCCACACUGGGACUGAGACACGGCCCAGACUCCUACGGGAGGCAGCAGUAGGGAAUCUUCGGCAAUGGGGGGAACCCUGACCGAGCAACGCCGCGUGAGUGAAGAAGGUUUUCGGAUCGUAAAGCUCUGUUGUUAAGGAAGAACGAGUGUGAGAAUGGAAAGUUCAUGCUGUGACGGUACUUAACCAGAAAGGGACGGCUAACUACGUGCCAGCAGCCGCGGUAAUACGUAGGUCCCGAGCGUUGUCCGGAUUUAUUGGGCGUAAAGCGAGCGCAGGCGGUUAGAAAAGUCUGAAGUGAAAGGCAGUGGCUCAACCAUUGUAGGCUUUGGAAACUGUUUAACUUGAGUGCAGAAGGGGAGAGUGGAAUUCCAUGUGUAGCGGUGAAAUGCGUAGAUAUAUGGAGGAACACCGGUGGCGAAAGCGGCUCUCUGGUCUGUAACUGACGCUGANGCUCGAAAGCGUGGGGAGCGAACAGGAUUAGAUACCCUGGUAGUCCACGCCGUAAACGAUGAGUGCUAGGUGUUAGGUCCUUUCCGGGACUUAGUGCCGCAGCUAACGCAUUAAGCACUCCGCCUGGGGAGUACGACCGCAAGGUUGAAACUCAAAGGAAUUGACGGGGGCCCGCACAAGCGGUGGAGCAUGUGGUUUAAUUCGAAGCAACGCGAAGAACCUUACCAGGUCUUGACAUCCCAGUGACUGCCCUA
rnacentral:rRNA from 1 species